GUGCUAUUUUUAAGGUUUUUGCUAUUUUCCAAGAAAGGUAACUCUGUCGACCUUGUUUGAUUUUAAUCUUUACUUUUGUGUGAUUAUGUCCCCUUGACCACAUUUGCUAUUUGCUCAACCAUAACGUUUCCCUCCUAAAGUUAGGGUCACUUGAGGUCAUUCUUUGUGUAAUCAGAAGUUGAUGGUCAUAGUGACAUGAAUAUAUGUUUUUCUGACUUAGAAAUUAUUAUUAAUAAGGAUUUGGAUUGAGGAAUUGGUAUUUUUUACAGCAUAAUUAACAGCACGGUGAGACAGGUGUGAGACAGGUGUGUUAUAGAAGGAGUUUGAUCCACAAUCGGGCUCGUUGCUAUAUGCUACAUGCUAUUAUGAUGAUAUAUGAUGCUAUGUGAUGCUAAUUGUUAGUACUAUAUGUGUGCUAUGAAAUGUUGAUCUGAUGGACUAUAUAUAUUGGUGUCUACUACAAAUUAAACAAGAACCAGCAACCCUCAAGUUUUGUUUUGAAUUUACCCAUAGGGAAAACACAACUGGGUCACAAAUGGCGCCCAACGGAGUUUAAUAAGUGGACAUUUAAAAUUUUAUAUUUGUUUCCUGUGUGAACACUUUUCACUGAACAUUUUUGAUAAUUUUAAUUGAAAUUAAACAGUGAAGUGCAGGAAGUUCUACCAACAGUGUAUUAUAUUAUACAAGUAUUUUCAUAUAGUUUGUUUAUUAAACAGACAGUUCUUCAUAUAGUAAAUCAUUUUAGAAUAUUUACGAGAUGUGUUAAAUUUGAAUACUCAUCAGUUAACUUAUACAGACAUUAUUUGAGAAUAUUAUUCGCUACAAGAAUUCAUCACUUCCCAGUGUAGAUCAAGGAUUGUUCACUUUAAGAAGUUAUCAUAA